UACGUAGGGUGCAAGCGUUAAUCGGAAUUACUGGGCGUAAAGCGUGCGCAGGCGGUGAUGUAAGACAGGUGUGAAAUCCCCGGGCUUAACCUGGGAAUUGCAUUUGUGACUGCCCGGCUAGAGUGUGUCAGAGGGGGGUAGAAUUCCACGUGUAGCAGUGAAAUGCGUAGAUAUGUGGAGGAAUACCGAUGGCGAAGGCAGCCCCCCUGGGAUAACACUGACGCUCAUGCACGAAAGCGUGGGGAGCAAACAGG
rnacentral:rRNA from 1 species